GAUGAUGAUCAUGAAACUUCAGAUCAAGUUACUACUAAACCUCAUAGGUCAACCAGAGUACGGUCCGCACCAGAGUGGUACGGUAAUCCUAUUCUGGAGGUCAUGUUACUUGACCAUGAUGAACCUACGAACUAUGAGGAAGCGAUGAUGAGCCCAGAUUCCGCGAAAUGGCUUGAGGCCUUGAAAUCUGAGAUGGGAUACAUGUAUGAGAAUAAAGUGUGGAGUUUGGUUGACUUUCCCGAUGAUCGGCAAGCCAUAGAGAAUAAAUGGAUCUUCAAGAAGAAGACUGACGCUGACGGUAAUGUU
rnacentral:rRNA from 1 species